rfam:Acidovorax sp. 65-7 SCNpilot_expt_1000_bf_scaffold_7928, whole genome shotgun sequence.
CCCCCGCUUUUCCUCCCUGAGCGGGACCUGGGCUGCAGCGAUGCGGCACAGGCUUUCCCGGCCCGGCGGAUCUGCCGGGCUUUUUUUU